AUACGGAGGGUGCAAACGUUGUUCGGAAUUACUGGCGUAAAGCGCGCGUAGGCGGUUUGUUAAGUCAGAUGUGAAAGUCCACAGCUCAACUGUGGAAGUGCAUUUGAAACUGGCAGACUUGAGUACUGGAGGGGGUGGUGGAAUUCCCGGUGUAGAGGUGAAAUUCGUAGAUAUCGGGAGGAAUACCGGUGGCGAAGGCGACCACCUGGCCAGAUACUGACGCUGAGGUGCGAAAGCGUGGGGAGCAAACAGGAUUAGAAACCCGAGUAGUCC
rnacentral:rRNA from 1 species